rnacentral:rRNA from 1 species
AACGAACGCUGGCGGCAUGCCUAACACAUGCAAGUCGAACGAGACCUUCGGGUCUAGUGGCGCACGGGUGCGUAACGCGUGGGAGCCUGCCCUUAGGUUCGGAAUAACUCCCCGAAAGGGGUGCUAAUACCGGAUAAUGUCUUCGGACCAAAGAUUUAUCGCCUUUGGAUGGGCCCGCGUUGGAUUAGCUAGUUGGUAGGGUAAAAGCCUACCAAGGCGACGAUCCAUAGCUGGUCUGAGAGGAUGAUCAGCCACACUGGGACUGAGACACGGCCCAGACUCCUACGGGAGGCAGCAGUGGGGAAUAUUGGACAAUGGGCGAAAGCCUGAUCCAGCAAUGCCGCGUGAGUGAUGAAGGCCUUAGGGUUGUAAAGCUCUUUUACCCGGGAUGAUAAUGACAGUACCGGGAGAAUAAGCGCCGGCUAACUCCGUG